CAAGCUGCCGGAGAAGCAAGCAGUGUUAUGAGGACAGCCCCAGGCAGGACCCAGCCCUGGGCAGGAUCUGGCCCUGCAGCUCUUCAGACAAAGUGUCUGGGAAGGAGCCGUGAUGGUCAUGGGUAUCUCCAGUGCCUCAGGUACAAGGCUGCUCCAAAGUACCCAGCACAGCAAAGGAGGACUUGGUGAUACCUCAUCCCACACCAAAGAUGGAGAUAGAAAAUCUUCCUCCAGAGCUUAAGCAGGGCCCCAACAGCCCUGGAUGUGGCUGAGAAAGGGCCAGGGCUACUAGCAGGGACUAGGGAGGGAAACAUGCUGACUAUCCCACCCCACCACGGUCUGGACUCACCUGGGGGGCAGCACAGCUGGGGGAACACCACCCAGGUAAUAGGAGACAGCGUUCUCCAGGGAGUUCUCCUGCUCCACCACGAAGAUGGUGAGGCGCUCCAGCCGCACCAGGAUGCGCUUCUUGUUAUUCAUUUUGAGAAGGAAAAUCUGGAUCUGGAGACAGAGGAGAGAAAUGAUCCAUCAAUUUGGGCCAAUUAUAUCCAUCACUGAGGGCAGCACAAGGUGUCUAGUUUAUGGCUCCAGUCAAAGAACUUCUUGCAGCUCUUCCCCUGCCCCCCAAAAACAAGGGUCCCUGUGCCUCCCCACCACAGAUGAGGAGCUCUCCCCCUCCCAGCAAGCCUGGCAGGCACCGUCCCCUCUUACCGCUUUGUUUGUGGUGCUGCUGAUGGUGAGGGAGGAGGAGUUGCUGGGUUUUGCCAUCUCCAGGCCAGAGCUGAAGUCGUAGUAAAGCACCAGCUUCCCAUCUCGGAUGGCCAGACACAGGAACUGACCCU